rnacentral:rRNA from 1 species
UGGGGAAUAUUGGACAAUGGGCGCAAGCCUGAUCCAGCCAUGCCGCGUGGAUGAUGAAGGCCCUAGGGUUGUAAAGUCCUUUCGGCGGGGAAGAUAAUGACGGUACCCGCAGAAGAAGCCCCGGCUAACUUCGUGCCAGCAGCCGCGGUAAUACGAAGGGGGCUAGCGUUGCUCGGAAUCACUGGGCGUAAAGCGCACGUAGGCGGAUUCUUAAGUCGGUGGUGAAAUCCUGGAGCUCAACUCCAGAACUGCCUCCGAUACUGAGAGUCUUCGAGUCCGGGAGAGGUGAGUGGAACUGCGAGUGUAGAGGUGAAAUUCGUAGAUAUUCGCAAGAACACCAGUGGCGAAGGCGGCUCACUGGCCCGAUACUGACGCUGAGGUGCGAAAGCGUGGGGAGCAAACAGGAUUAGAUACCCCCGUAGUCCCUGAGCGGGCUGGCAAGGCGCAU